GUCCCCGUAGCGUAGUGGUCAUCGUUUGUAUGCUUUAUCUCCAGCGUUUGAUUUUCCCAGCGAAUUUGAUUAAGGCAGCGAAAGACGUCGGUUCGAAUCCGACCGGGGACA